AUACUUACCUGGCAGGGGAGAUACCAUGAUCACUAAGGUGGUUCUCCCAGGGUGAGGCUCAUCCAUUGCACUCCGGGUGUGCUGACCCCUGCGAUUUCCCCAAAUGCGGGAAACACGACUGCAUAAUUUGUGCAUAAU
rnacentral:snRNA from 1 species